UACGUAGGGUGCGAGCGUUAAUCGGAAUUACUGGGCGUAAAGCGUGCGCAGGCGGUUUUGUAAGCCAGAUGUGAAAGCCCCGGGCUCAACCUGGGAAUGGCAUUUGGGACUGCAAGGCUGGAGUUUGGCAGAGGAGACUGGAAUUCCUGGUGUAGCAGUGAAAUGCGUAGAUAUCAGGAGGAAUACCGAUGGCGAAGGCAGGUCUCUGGGCUAUAACUGACGCCCAUGCACGAAAGCGUGGGGAGCGAACAGG
rnacentral:rRNA from 1 species